AUUAGUGAGUUUGAGGCACGGCUCCGCACCAUGGAAUCAAAAUCGUAUGCUUCCGUAGCUAGCCGGCACAAUGUAGUUAAUACU